GUAGUAAAUCUAGCCCUAAAACUAAAAAUAACCCUAAUACUAACCUCACAUCUAACCCAAUCUAUUGUCCUAAACAUAACCCUAACCCUAAUGAAAACCCUAGCACUAACUCUAAACCUAACCCGGACAUUAACCCUAACCCUAACCAUAGAAAAACACUAAACCUAACCAUCACCUUAGGAUUAACCCUAGCUCCAAACCUAAACUUUACCCUAAACCUAACCCUAACACUACCCUAAGCUAGGAUUUCUAGCCCUAGUCCAAAACCUAACCUUUACUCUAGCCUUAAUCAUAACAAUAAACCUAGACCUAACCCUAGCUUUAACCCAUAAACUACCUUUAUAAUAACCCUAAUCAUAAUGCUAACCCUAGACCUAACUCCAACCCUAUUGCUAACUCUAAACCUCUCCAUUACCCUAAACCAACCCUUGACCCUAAACCUAACCCUAUUCAUUACCCUAACCCUAAAUCUAACCUUUAUGCUCAUUUGAGCCCUAUCCCCAAACCUUAACAUAAAACAAACCCUAACCCUGACCCUGACCCUAUAAAUCUACCGAGCUCUAAAACUGACCCUUACCCUAAACCUAACCCUUACACUAGACCAAGACAUAAACUUAAUCCUAAAUUUGCACCUAACUGUAAAACUAGACCUGACAUUAGCCCUAGAUCUAAUUCUAGACCUAACCUUACAACAAAACCUAGCCCUCAUUCUAGCCCUAUACCUAGCCUUAAUCAUAACCCUAACUCUAACCCUAACCCUAGCCCUAACCCUAAUUCUAAACCUCACCCUACCUUUGAACCUAGCUAUAACACAUCCCUUAGUCUAAACAUAACCCUAACCUUAGCUCUAAUGCUUAGCCUAACUUAAACUCUAAGCAUAUUACUAGUCCUAACCAUAGCCCUCAUUCUAUCUCUAACCCUAAACUGGACCCUUAUUAUGACCCUGACAGUAACUCUAGGUCUAAACCUGAUCCUAACACUAAACCAAACCCUAAUAGUAGCCCUACUGGUAAACCUAUAUCUAUACCUAACCCUAACAUUAAACCUAGACCCAAAGCUAAUCCUAAAUAUAGCUAUAACUCUAGCCCUAGACCUAAACAAAAACCCAGCCCUAGCCCUAAAAAAUAAUCUUUAACCUAAACCAAACAAUUACCCUACCCCUAGACCUAACACUUACCCUACGCUAGAAGAAAUGAUAGGGGGAGGAAGUAAACUACAUGCAUAUUUUCCUGUUGUCUCCUAAAGUGCUCUCAGAUAAAGUUGUUUUUGCAUGCUUCAGCAUUGGAAUAGUUUCACAAGGAAGAAAUCAGAAAGUACAGACAGAGAAUUGAUUGAGUAUGUGAAAUUUCAAGCAGCUAGCACCUACACUGUUUGAUUUGGAACUACAUUUCCAUUUAUUCAUAGAGGUCAAAAUGAAGUGAACCCUUAAAAUAUACACUGUUUCUAACAGUGAAAAAUUGAAUUGAGAAAGUUCAAACCUUGGGUACAUAAGAAGAUAAGAAAAACAUGAAUAUUGCCCAAUUAAAAUAAAUUUGAACAAAUCUAACUGUAACUCUAAUCCUAGAUCUGAUGCUAUCCCUGACACUAACCCUAAACUGUUUAAAGAACCUAUGAUAAUAGAAGUCCCAAAAUUGUGGAUCCUAGUGGGGCAAGCUAACAGAUGAAUCCUUUGCAGUAUCAAAGAAAUAUGACCAAAUAAUUGGGGGGAGGUAUUUCAGUAUAUUCAUAUUUUUCUCUUUACUCCUAAAGUACUGUCAGAUAAACUUGCUUUGUAUACUUCAGCUUAGGGCUACAUUCACAAGAAACAAACCAGAGAGUGCCCACAGAGAACUGAUUGAGUGUAUAAAGUUUCAAGCAGCUAGCACCAACACUGUUUGAUUUCUAACUCCAAAUUCAUUUACCCAUAUAGGUCAAAAUGAAGUGAAACCUUAAAAUAGAAACUGUUCCUGACAGCGAACCAUUGAAAUGAGAAGGCUCAAAACUGCCAAGCAUAGUAAGGUUAGUUAAAGAGGAAUCCUUCCAAGUAUCAAAGAAAUUUGAAUAAAACUAACUCUAAUCCUAACACUAACUCUAACCAUAGUUCUAACCCUAACCCUAACCCUAACCCUAACAUUAACAUGUAUAGAAAACAUUUGAACAUAGAAUUUCCAAACUUGGGGGAGCCUAGUAGGGGAAGCUAACAGAUGAAUCCUGCCCAGUAUCAAAAAAUCUGACCAAAUAAUUGGGAGAGGUAGUUCAGCAUAUGCAUAUUUCCCUGUGUUUUCCUAAAGUGCUCUUAGAUAAUGUUAUUUUGCAUGUUUCAGCUUUGGAAAAUUUUCAAUACAAAGAAACCAGAGAAGGCCCACAGAUAACUGAUUGAGUGUAUAAAGUUUCAAGCAGCUAUCACCAACACUUUUUGAUUUCC
rnacentral:lncRNA from 1 species